GAUGAAGAACGUAGCGAAAUGCGAUAAGUAGUGUGAAUUGCAGAAUUCAGUGAAUCAUCGAAUCUUUGAACGCACAUUGCGCCCGCUGGUAUUCCGGCGGGCAUGCCUGUUCGAGCGUCAUUUCAACCCUCAAACCCCCCGGGUUUGGUGUUGGGGAUCGGCUCUGCCUCACGGCGGUGCCGCCCCCGAAAUACAUUGGCGGUCUCGCUGCAGCCUCCAUUGCGUAGUAGCUAACACCUCGCAACUGGAACGCGGCGCGGCCAUGCCGUAAAACCCCAACUUCUGAAUGUUGACCUCGGAUCAGGUAGGAAUACCCGCUGAACUUAAGCAUAUCAAUAAGCGGAGGA
rnacentral:misc_RNA from 1 species